AGAGUUUGAUCCUGGCUCAGGACGAACGCUGGCGGUGUGCUUCACACAUGCAAGUCGAACGGAGUAGCAAUACUCAGUGGCGGACGGGUGAGUAACACGUGGGAAUCUACCAUUAGGUGGGGAAUAACAGGCCGAAAGGACUGCUAAUGCCGCAUAUGUAGGCAUCUCGACAGAGAUGUUUAUGAAAGGAGUAAUCCGCCUUUUGAUGAGCCCGCGUCCGAUUAGCUAGUUGGUAGGGUAAAAGCCUACCAAGGCGACGAUCGGUAGGUGGUCUGAGAGGAUGAUCACCCACAAUGGGACUGAGACACGGCCCAUACUCCUACGGGAGGCAGCAGUGGGGAAUUUUACGCAAUGGGGGAAACCCUGACGUAGCGACACCGCGUGAGCGAAGAAGCCCUUUGGGGUGUAAAGCUCUGUCAACAGGAACGAAACAAAUGACGGUACCUGUGGAGGAAGCAUCGGCUAACUACGUGCCAGCAGUCGCGGUAAGACGUAGGAUGCAAGCGUUGUCCGGAUUUAUUGGGCGUAAAGAGUUCGUAGGCGGUUUGUUAAGUCUGAUGUUAAAGGCCGGGGCUCAACCUCGGAAAUGCAUUGGAUACUGGUAGACUGGAGUGCAGUAGAGGCUAGUGGAAUUCCCAGUGUAGCGGUGAAAUGCGUAGA
rnacentral:rRNA from 1 species